rnacentral:misc_RNA from 1 species
GAAAUGCGAUAAGUAGUGUGAAUUGCAGAAUUCAGUGAAUCAUCGAAUCUUUGAACGCACAUUGCGCCCUUUGGUAUUCCUUAGGGCAUGCCUGUUCGAGCGUCAUUUGUACCUUCAAGCUUUGCUUGGUGUUGGGUGUUUGUCUCGCCUCUGCGCGCAGACUCGCCUCAAAACAAUUGGCAGCCGGCGUAUUGAUUUCGGAGCGCAGUACAUCUCGCGCUUUGCACUCAUAACGACGACGUCCAAAAAGUACAUUUUUUACACUCUUGACCUCGGAUCAGGUAGGGAUACCCGCUGAACUUAAGC